AAGGGGAUGCACACCUGCUUAAGCCCACCCUCCUUCUCGGCCCCUGCCCUCCUGAUGGCUCUCCUGGCGACUUGGAAUCUGUGACCCUGCUUAGGGAUCCUUGCUGGCCUUCCCCCUGUUUGUGUUGUAAGACACCUUCACAUCCACCCAGGACAGCCCCCAAGCAUAUAGGCCUGGAAGAGGAAGACUGGAUCUCAGGUUUUUUGCAAAAGCCAGCAUAGCUCAAAGACGAAACCACCAUCGGCGCAAUGUAAAACAAACACUGAAAUUUAGACCAAAAUUCCAGCAACCAAGCCCUACGGAGGAAAUAUCAAACAGCCCUGGCACAGACUGCUACAGGAGGAGAACAUUCCAGACCUUAUAGUGGGAGAAGCUGCCAGAGAGGCCACCUGAAGGGCAGAACCCUGGAAGGAAAGAGGCCAACUAGCAGCAAGAGAUCCCUACUAAUCCCCUACUCAGUUCUGGCCAAGACCUCCCAGCCCAAACCCAGCUAAGAGUUCCCCAGGAGUCCCAGCCCCAGUGCUCCAAGAGCUCAAAUCUCUGAGCCUCGUCAUUUCCACAUAAAGAGCAACAGCUCAGGUGCCUGUGGUCUGACAGCAACACAUUUUGCAGCCUUCUGGGGGUGACAGAUAGCUUGCUCUUCACAUCACUAUUUCAAACAUUAACAUAAUCUCCCAGGAUGAAUGCGCUUGCUGGCGUCUAAUCAAUCACCCGUCCUGCACCUUGAUCCCUCAUCCCAAGGCAGAAUGCAGGCUUGCCACUCCACACAGGUUAUGCGCACUGGCUCCCAGGCUUAUUUGGCCUGGCCAUACUAUCAUUUUGGGGUUAGUCCCUUGGGGUUUCCCAACACCCUGCAGCCACUUGCCUGUCAAGGGCCUGGCUCCCACCCCAGGCACUAUCUCAAGCACAGAGCCCAUCCACAGGGGAACCUGGAAAGCCCCAACACUCUCCCAAAGGCAAGAAUGCCACAGGGUCGCUGCUUCAUCAACAGCUACCUUGAAAAGCACAGACCAAGACCUCAACAAUGCCAAAUCUUCCACACUGCUGACCCACUUGGAAGAGGGUCCCUGGGGAAAAGCAGGUAAACCAGGCUUACCUCGCGG